GCGCGAAAACUUUACAAUGCCGGCAACAGCGAUAAGGGGACCUCGAGUGCCAGGUUACAAAUCUGGCUGUCGAGAUGCCUAAAAAGCAUUUCAUAGCAAGGGCCGGGCAAGACCGGUGCCAGCCGCCGCGGUAACACCGGCGGCUCGAGUGGUAACCGUUAUUAUUGGGUCUAAAGGGUCUGUAGCCGGCCGGAUAAGUCUCUUGGGAAAUCUGGCAGCUCAACUGUCGGGCUUUCAGGAGAUACUGUCUGGCUCGAGGCCGGGAGAGGGGAGAGGUACUUCAGGGGUAGGGGUGAAAUCUUGUAAUCCUUGAAGGACCACCAGUGGCGAAGGCGUCUCACCAGAACGGACCUGACGGCAAGGGACGAAAGGUAGGGGCACGAACCG
rnacentral:rRNA from 1 species